rnacentral:tRNA from 1 species
UUAUCUGUGGCAGAAUUUAUAUGCUUAAGGCUUAAGAUCUUACAAUGGAACUAAUUUCCCAGAUAGU